AUUGAACGCUGGCGGCAUGCUUUACACAUGCAAGUCGAACGGUAACAGGGUGCUUGCACCGCUGACGAGUGGCGAACGGGUGAGUAAUGCGUCGGAACGUGCCGAGUAGUGGGGGAUAACGCAGCGAAAGUUGUGCUAAUACCGCAUACGUACUGAGGUAGAAAGUGGGGGACCUUCGGGCCUCACGCUAUUCGAGCGGCCGACGUCUGAUUAGCUAGUAGUGGAGGGAAAGGCUCACCUAGGCGACGAUCAGUAGCGGGUCUGAGAGGACGAGCAGCCACACUGGGACUGAGACACGGCCCAGACUCCUACGGGAGGCAGCAGUGGGGAAUUGUGGACAAUGGACGCAAGUCUGAUCCAGCCAUGCCGCGUGCGGGAAGAAGGCCUUCGGGUUGUAAACCGCUUUUGUCAGGGAAGAAACGAGUUUCUCUAAUACAGAGACUUAAUGACGGUACCUGAAGAAUAAGCACCGGCUAACUACGUGCCAGCAGCCGCCGUAACAC
rnacentral:rRNA from 1 species